CGGGGCCCCGGAUCACGCAAGCGCUCUGCUGAGCGUCGGCUCUCGCCGUAGCGACGGUCGGGUAGGGGAGGUGACCCACGGCGGUUUGCUCCGCUUGGUGGAGGAGAGAUGGGGAGGCGUCGCGCCGGGGCUGAGGUAGGCAGGAGCCCGCCCCUCGACGCCUAACCCUCCCGCGACGCUAGCCCCUGAGCCGUGAUGCGAGCGUGGGUCCUGCUCUCCGCGGUGCUCUGGUACCUCACAGGAGUUGGAUGGCAGCGUAAUUCCGAACGCACUGAGAAAGGCUUCAUUUAUGGCAAGCCGGGACACCCAGUGAAAAUAUAUGUAAAAUUACACCACAAUAGCCCAAUCCUUGUCUGUAUGGAUUUUAAACGCGCUGAGAAAGAAACAGUGGACCCAACCUACUUAUGGGUUGGGCCUAAUGAAAAGCCAUUAACAGGAAAUAAUAGAAUAAAUAUCACUGAAACAGGAAAGCUGAUGGUGAAAGACUUUCUGGAGCCUUUGUCUGGACUUUACACAUGCACUCUUUCUUAUAAGACUGUCAAAGCAGAAACCCAAGAAGAAAAGGUAGUAAAGCAGAGAUAUGACUUUAUGAUCUUUGCUUAUCGGGAACCUGACUAUUCAUAUCAGAUGGCUGUACGUUUUACCACAAAAUCUUGUGUAGGAAAGUAUAAUGAUAUGCUUUUUAGAGUGCUGAAGAAAAUCUUGGAUAAUUUAAUUUCUGAUUUGUCAUGCCAUAUCAUAGAGCCAUCAUAUAAAUGCCAUUUUGUUAAAGUCCCAAAACAUGGCCUCAUUCCUGAGCUAUUUAUAGCCUUUCAAGUUAAUCCUUUUGCGCCAGGGUGGAAAGGUGCUUGCAAUGAGUCUGUUGACUGUGAAGAUACCACUAAUCAUAAUAUCCUCCAGGCAAGAAAUCGAAUAGAAGAAUUUUUCCGGAGCCAAGCAUAUAUUUUCAACCACGACUUUAGUAAAACUCUACCAGCGAUGCAUUUUGUGGACCACAGUUUUCAAAUAUGGCUUGUGGUCCUGGGACUUUUAGUCCUGAUGUUGAUGUUACAUGUCAAACCUGCAUUUCCAUCCAAAUCUACGGCGCUAAAUCUUGCCCAUAAAACUUCAAACAAAAAUCACAACCUGAAGACUAGAGGUGAAAGCAUUGUUACUUGCUUAUGGAGGUGGGGAACAUAAGAUGAUUUGUUCACAUCUCUGGGAGUGUCAUGGAUAGUUCCAUUAACUAAGAUCAGUAAGACCAAAGCAUUGGAAAACAUACAUUUUAGAAACCCUGGAAAGAUAGUCAACAUGGCGUUUCUAAGAAGGCCUUUAAUGUCUCCAGUGUGCAAAGGAAAGUGUAACACAUUGCUAUCUAGUAUCAGAAUCUGGAAAAAAAGAGACAGCAGCAAAGAUGUUUGGAAAACAAAGAAGAUAAGGAAACAGGAAACAAAGAGAAAAGAAAGGGGCUUUAACCACCAACCAUUGACUAGAAAAGCUUGCAUAUAACUCAGAGGGUGGAGGAAGCACACCUCAGUCCAAGUGAGCUUGAAGUCCUUUUCUUGCAGAUGUAGGUCACAAAGCUUGGGCUGGAGAGCUCUAAUUUAGACUCCUGGACCCUACCCUUCCUGUGGAAGUUUUCUGGAAUGUGGCUCACACAGAAGGAAGUCAACCAAAUUUUUAAAUGCAGAGGAAAGACUAAAUUGAGGAUGGAGAUAUGUGCGUGUGCCCCCCUCUUCUUUCUUAUGGCCCAGCCGUUACAGUCUAACAUCCAACGGUUUUCAAAGCAUCUUGCAAAAUAUGUCUCCCCUGAGUGACAGAAAGCAAGUGAGGAAGACAUCUGCAGUCUACAGUGGAAAGACCCUGGCUUUCUGAUUCCAGUCCUGACUGUCAUUUUCUAUCUUUGGCAAAGACUGUCCUCUCAUCCCUGCUAUGGGGAAACUAAGUCCAGGUUCAGCCUCUCUUAAAAUGUAACUUCAUAUAAUCAUAUAAUCUGUAUGAAAGAACUAUGUAAAAACCAUUUUUUAAAAAAACUGUAUAAAACACCAACAAUUUUAAGGCUCUGUAUUAGCUUGUGGGGCCUGCGAUAAAUAAGGAAGUGAUUCUACACAGCUGGGAGCCCAUAGCUUUCACCGUAACUUGCAUGCAUUCAGUCAGUAAGCUUUUAUUUACUAUAGGUACUAUGCUCAGUAGUCUCGGUCUCUUCACCAGGGUUGGCACAGACUAGUGUCUGAGACAAAUAAAGUACUCCAAUUAAGUGCCAUUGUGACCUAGAUAGCAUCUUAGGAUCCUCUGUUCCUUGGAUAUUGGUGGUAGAUUUGAGGUAAGAUUUCAGAAGGCAGACAGAGGAAGGGUUACACUGCCUCAACACACAAAAAAAGCUUAAAAUGAAACAGUAAGCAUCACCAUUCUCUCUCUCUCUUUUUUUUUUUGCCACUUUUAUUGUGAAAUAUAACAUGCAUACAGAAAAGUGCAUUGAACACUAAUUUAACAGUUUAACAAAUUAUCAAAUAAACAUCUGAGCUACCCACCACCCAGGUGAAGAAAUAAAAUAUUUCUAGUAUUCUAGAAAUCCACUCCUUUCGCAUGUGCCUGUCCCUGAUCAUAUCAUCCCUCCUCCAAAGAGGAUGAAUCAUAAUCAUUAUUUCUUCCCUUUUCUAGGAGUUUUACCACCAAAGUUGGAUCCCUAAGCCAUGUAGUUUCUCUGGUUUUAAACAUUAUGAUAGAGACACAGAUGUAGAGAACAAACAUAUGGACACCAAGUGGGCAGCGCGGGGAGGGUUGGGGGGGAAUGAAUUGGGAGAUUGGGACACCAAAUUGUACACUCUAAAUAUAUGCAGUUUAUUGUAAAAAAUAAAAAAUUGGAAAAAAAACAUUAUGGAGCGAAUCAUAAUGAAUAUAUUCUUCUACUCCUUGAUUCUUUCUAAAGCUUGUCACGUAGAAUUAGUUCAUUUAUACCCGCUGCUGUAUAGUAUUCCAUUAUUUGAAUAUACCACAGUUUUUUUUAUCCAUUCUGUUGUUGGGGAACACUCAAGUUGCUUUUGGUUUUUGACUGUUAUGACAUGCUACUAAGUAAAAUUCUUUUAACUAUAUCCCAUGUGAUGCAUAUGUGCACAAGUUUCCCUAGAGUGUAUACCUAGCAAGUCGAAUUUUGGGGUUAUAGCGUAGGUCAGGCUUCCAUUUGUAAUGACAAACUGUUAUUCAUAGUGAUUGUAUUAAUUUAUCUUCCGAGCAGUAAGCAAUGUAACAAUGAAAGUUCUCAUUGUUUCAGAUACUUAACAACAUUUGGUAUUGUCAGACUUAAACUUUUGCCUUACUGGAGAGUGAGUAAUGGUAUCUCCUGGAGGUUUUAAUUUGUGUUUUCCUGAUUACUAAUCAGGUUAAUCAUCAUUUCAUAUGUUUGUUAGCUAUUAGGAUUUUCUUUUUCCCAAAGUUCUGUAGAAGACUUGUAUCUAUUUUUGUAUUGAGUCAUCUUUAUUUUUUAUUGAUUUGUACAAGCUCUCUAUACUGGAUAUUAUUGCUUACA